GAUAGCAAGAAGAGAAGAGGAGAAGCCCAAAUGCACCUUUCUGAGGAGGGAAUCUUCCAUCACCACGAUGUGGCAGCUUCCCAGACCAGAUGUGAUGACCGGAACACUAGCUGCUACCUAGGCCCAUGAGCUCAUACCUGGGGAUGAAGGAACAAUGUACUAGAAGGAAUCUGGGUCUCAAAGGACUUUGUGGAUCAGAGUUACUAUAAUAUUCCUGGAGAGUCUACAGCUAUACUUUUAAGUGAAAGAGAAAUACGCUACCUGACCGUUGAAAGCGAGUUGCUACUUCCCAUUAACGUAUUGUCCCUUCUCACACGAAGCAUGAAGAUUUUGCCUAAAGAGCUGAGUCAGUCGAGAGAAGCAUCCAAUUAUCACAGAUUCCCACAUUUGAAAGCAGCAGAGUGCAAGCAUCCUGCUGUUCGAGGCCGUCAAGAAGAUUCCACGUCAGCAGGAAACAAAACCAGUAGGAGGAAUUCAGGUGGAGAGGCAAGUUCUCAUGAAGCUAAUUACUCAGAGUAUGCAAGUAAUUGAGUUAGCAAAUCAACUUUCCCAGGAAUGGAAUAGUGGUAUAAAGACGACGGCAAAGUGGCACAGCGUCCCUCUGAACGGGUUUAGCAGGAAGUACCUCCUGAUGACACUGUUAGCGUUAAGCUCUUUUAGGCCCAAGCAGCUUCCCUCCCCACACAAAGCUAUGUGCGGAACACCGUUUGUUAGAGAACACCCAGUGAAAAGGAUAGCAACCUAAGUGUUCCUAAUUCUGUUUUAAAAGAAUGUACAACAGAAUGUCUCUUGCUCUUGAAUUUAUGAGAGAGAGGAAGGAGGAGAGAGGGAGGAAGAGAGGGAAAAAGAGAGAGAGAAA